UGGGGAAUAUUGGACAAUGGGCGCAAGCCUGAUCCAGCCAUGCCGCGUGAGUGAUGAAGGCCCUAGGGUUGUAAAGCUCUUUCACCGGUGAAGAUAAUGACGGUAACCGGAGAAGAAGCCCCGGCUAACUUCGUGCCAGCAGCCGCGGUAAUACGAAGGGGGCUAGCGUUGUUCGGAUUUACUGGGCGUAAAGCGCACGUAGGCGGACUAUUAAGUCAGGGGUGAAAUCCCGGGGCUCAACCCCGGAACUGCCUUUGAUACUGGUAGUCGUGAGUUCGAGAGAGGGGAGUGGAAUUCCGAGUGUAGAGGUGAAAUUCGUAGAUAUUCGGAGGAACACCAGUGGCGAAGGCGGCUCACUGGCUCGAUACUGACGCUGAGGUGCGAAAGCGUGGGGAGCAAACAGG
rnacentral:rRNA from 1 species